GACGAACGCUGGCGGCGUGCCUAAUACAUGCAAGUCGAGCGGACGGAUGGGAGCUUGCUCCCAGACCGUCAGCGGCGGACGGGUGAGUAACACGUGGGCAACCUGCCUGUAAGACUGGGAUAACUCCGGGAAACCGGGGCUAAUACCGGAUAACUCUUUCCCUCACAUGAGGGAAAGCUGAAAGAUGGCAUCUCGCUAUCACUUACAGAUGGGCCCGCGGCGCAUUAGCUAGUUGGUGAGGUAACGGCUCACCAAGGCGACGAUGCGUAGCCGACCUGAGAGGGUGAUCGGCCACACUGGGACUGAGACACGGCCCAGACUCCUACGGGAGGCAGCAGUAGGGAAUCUUCCGCAAUGGACGAAAGUCUGGCGGAGCAACGCCGCGUGAGUGAUGAAGGUUUUCGGAUCGUAAAACUCUGUUGUCAGGGAAGAACAAGUACCGGAGUAACUGCCGGUACCUUGACGGUACCUGACCAGAAAGCCACGGCUAACUACGUG
rnacentral:rRNA from 1 species